AACGUAGGAGACGAACGUUAUCCGGAGUUACUGGGCGUAAAGGGCGUGCAGGCGGCUUGAUAAGUUCGGCGUGAAAUUUUUCGGCUUAACCGGGGGAUGUCGUCGGAGACUGUCGAGCUAGAGGGCGAUAGAGGCGGGUGGAAUUCCGGGUGUAGUGGUGAAAUGCGUAGAGAUCCGGAGGAACACCAGUGGCGAAGGCGACCCGCUGGGUCGCACCUGACGCUAAGACGCGACAGCAUGGGGAGCGAACGGG
rnacentral:rRNA from 1 species